rnacentral:lncRNA from 1 species
GUGUAUCCUGCCGUUUUGGUUGUGCACCCUGUGAUUUAGAGAGGUGGUAGUUGUUUACCGGUGUAUAAAUACUCCCAAAUGGGGCCUUGCUAUGUUUUGCUUGCAACAAUGAAAAAACAAAAGAAGAAGAAGAAAAGGUACGCUCUACUAAUCCAAACAUCUGUGCUAGUCUAAAACACAAUCCAAUGCCAAAAUAAAGUUCAAAAUUUGGAUCCAACGCCAAGGAAUUCUGAAACCCAAUCUGAUACCAAGAGAGAACCCGCACUAAAGAAAUUUCGGAAGCACGAUCCAAUGCUGAAUAAAUGU